rnacentral:rRNA from 1 species
UGGGGAAUAUUGGACAAUGGGCGCAAGCCUGAUCCAGCUAUGCCGCAUGAGUGAAGAAGGCCUUAGGGUUGUAAAACUCUUUCAGCAGGGAAGAUAAUGACGGUACCUGCAGAAGAAGUCCCGGCAAACUCCGUGCCAGCAGCCGCGGUAAUACGGAGGGGGCAAGCGUUGUUCGGAAUUAUUGGGCGUAAAGGGCAUGUAGGCGGUUUAAUAAGUUAAAAGUGAAAUACCAGGGCUUAACCUUGGAGCUGCUUUUAAUACUAUUUAAACUAGAGAUCGAGAGAGGAUAGUGGAAUUCCUAGUGUAGAGGUGAAAUUCGUAGAUAUUAGGAGGAACACCAGUGGCGAAGGCGACUAUCUGGCUCAGUUCUGACGCUGAGGUGCGAAAGCGUGGGGAGCAAACAGG